GGCCGCAGUAUACUAACUGUGCAAAGGUAGCAUAAUCAUUAGUCUUUUAAUUGAAGGCUGGUAUGAAUGGUUGGACGAGAUAUUAACUGUUUCAUAAUAAUUUAUAAUAGAAUUUUAUUUUUUAGUCAAAAAGCUAAAAUAUAUUUAAAAGACGAGAAGACCCUAUAAAUCUUUAUAUUUAGAUUAUUAUAAUUUUAUAGAUUUUUUUUAUUAUAAUAAUCAAUGAUAUUUUAUUGGGGUGAUAUUAAAAUUUAAUAAACUUUUAAUUGUUAAAAUCAUUAAUUUAUGAAUAAUUGAUCCGUUAUUAGCGAUUAAAAAAAUAAGUUACUUUAGGGAUAACAGCGUAAUUUUUUUGGAGAGUUCAUAUCGAUAAAAAAGAUUGCGACCUCGAUGUUGGAUU
rnacentral:rRNA from 1 species